AUACGGAGGAUCCGAGCGUUAUCCGGAUUUAUUGGGUUUAAAGGGUGCGCAGGCGGGAGAUUAAGUCGGCGGUGAAAUUUUGCAGCUCAACUGUAAAAGUGCCUUCGAUACUGGUUUCCUUGAGUGUGGAUGAAGUAGGCGGAAUUUUUGGUGUAGCGGUGAAAUGCUUAGAUAUCACGAGGAACUCCGAUUGCGCAGGCAGCUUACUAAACCACUACUGACGCUCAGGCACGAAGGCGUGGGGAUCAAACAGGAUUAGAUACCCUGGUAGUCCACGCAGUAAACGAUGAUUACUGGCUGUUUGCGAUACAAUGUAAGCGGCUGAGCGAAAGCGUUAAGUAAUCCACCUGGGGAGUACGUUCGCAAGAAUGAAACUCAAAUGAAUUGACGGGG
rnacentral:rRNA from 1 species